AGCUACAGGCUUAACACAUGCAAGUCGAGGGGCAGCAUGGUCUUAGCUUGCUAAGGCCGAUGGCGACCGGCGCACGGGUGAGUAACACGUAUCCAACCUGCCGUCUACUCUUGGACAGCCUUCUGAAAGGAAGAUUAAUACAAGAUGGCAUCAUGAGUCCGCAUGUUCACAUGAUUAAAGGUAUUCCGGUAGACGAUGGGGAUGCGUUCCAUUAGAUAGUAGGCGGGGUAACGGCCCACCUAGUCUUCGAUGGAUAGGGGUUCUGAGAGGAAGGUCCCCCACAUUGGAACUGAGACACGGUCCAAACUCCUACGGGAGGCAGCAGUGAGGAAUAUUGGUCAAUGGGCGAGAGCCUGAACCAGCCAAGUAGCGUGAAGGAUGACUGCCCUAUGGGUUGUAAACUUCUUUUAUAAAGGAAUAAAGUCGGGUAUGGAUACCCGUUUGCAUGUACUUUAUGAAUAAGGAUCGGCUAACUCCGUGCCAGCAGCCGCGGUAAUACGGAGGAUCCGAGCGUUAUCCGGAUUUAUUGGGUUUAAAGGGAGCGUAGAUGGAUGUUUAAGUCAGUUGUGAAAGUUUGCGGCUCAACCGUAAAAUUGCAAUUGAUACUGGAUAUCUUGAGUGCAGUUGAGGCAGGCGGAAUUCGUGGUGUAGCGGUGAAAUGCUUAGAUAUCACGAAGAACUCCGAUUGCGAAGGCAGCCUGCUAAGCUGCAACUGACAUUGAGGCUCGAAAGUGUGGGUAUCAAACAGGAUUAGAUACCCUGGUAGUCCACACGGUAAACGAUGAAUACUCGCUGUUUGCGAUAUACAGCAAGCGGCCAAGCGAAAGUGUUAAGUAUUCCACCUGGGGAGUACGCCGGCAACGGUGAAACUCAAAGGAAUUGACGGGGGCCCGCACAAGCGGAGGAACAUGUGGUUUAAUUCGAUGAUACGCGAGGAACCUUACCCGGGCUUAAAUUGCAGAUGAAUUACGGUGAAAGCCGUAAGCCGCAAGGCAUCUGUGAAGGUGCUGCAUGGUUGUCGUCAGCUCGUGCCGUGAGGUGUCGGCUUAAGUGCCAUAACGAGCGCAACCCUUGUUGUCAGUUACUAACAGGUUCCGCUGAGGACUCUGACAAGACUGCCAUCGUAAGAUGUGAGGAAGGUGGGGAUGACGUCAAAUCAGCACGGCCCUUACGUCCGGGGCUACACACGUGUUACAAUGGGGGGUACAGAGGGCCGCUACCACGCGAGUGGAUGCCAAUCCCCAAAACCUCUCUCAGUUCGGACUGGAGUCUGCAACCCGACUCCACGAAGCUGGAUCCGCUAGUAAUCGCGCAUCAGCCACGGCGCGGUGAAUACGUUCCCGGGCCUUGUACACACCGCCCGUCAAGCCAUGGGAGCCGGGGGUACCUGAAGUGCGUAACCGCGAGGAGCGCCCUAGGGUAAAACUGGUGACUGGGGCUAAGUCAUAACA
rnacentral:rRNA from 1 species